GAUGAAGAACGUAGCGAAAUGCGAUAAGUAAUGUGAAUUGCAGAAUUCAGUGAAUCAUCGAAUCUUUGAACGCACAUUGCGCCCGCCAGCACUCUGGCGGGCAUGCCUGUUCGAGCGUCAUUUCAACCAUCAAGCCCCCAGGGGCUUGUGCUGGGGCCCUGCGGCUACCCGCAGGCCCUGAAAACCAGUGGCGGGCUCGCUAGUCACACCGAGCGCAGUAGCACAUCUCGCUCAGGGCGUGCGGCGGGCUCCUGCCGUGAAACCCCCCACUGUAACCCCAAAGGUUGACCUCGGAUCAGGUAGGAAUACCCGCUGAACUUAAGCAUAUCAAUAAGCGGAGGA
rnacentral:misc_RNA from 1 species